rnacentral:tRNA from 1 species
GGGACUGUAGCUCAGCCUGGGAGAGCACGUCACUGAAGAUGGCGGUGUCGCUGGUUCAAAUCCGGCCAGUCCCA